rnacentral:piRNA from 1 species
UGCAUGUAGAUGGACUGGGGCUGUCAGUGU